rnacentral:rRNA from 1 species
ACUUAAAUUGAAGAGUUUGAUCAUGGCUCAGAUUGAACGCUGGCGGCAGGCCUAACACAUGCAAGUCGAGCGGUAGCACAGAGAGCUUGCUCUCGGGUGACGAGCGGCGGACGGGUGAGUAAUGUCUGGGAAACUGCCUGAUGGAGGGGGAUAACUACUGGAAACGGUAGCUAAUACCGCAUAACGUCGCAAGACCAAAGUGGGGGACCUUCGGGCCUCAUGCCAUCAGAUGUGCCCAGAUGGGAUUAGCUAGUAGGUGGGGUAACGGCUCACCUAGGCGACGAUCCCUAGCUGGUCUGAGAGGAUGACCAGCCACACUGGAACUGAGACACGGUCCAGACUCCUACGGGAGGCAGCAGUGGGGAAUAUUGCACAAUGGGCGCAAGCCUGAUGCAGCCAUGCCGCGUGUGUGAAGAAGGCCUUCGGGUUGUAAAGCACUUUCAGCGGGGAGGAAGGCGGUGAGGUUA